CAAGAGAAAGAACCCGAAGAAGUAAGAGGAAACUAAUGCAGUGAGAGAAUCUGGGAAUAUAAGAAGGGAAUGUGAAUGAGGUGCUGAUGUAGGAGACAUUUGGAUUCAAGAUCCUUAUUGGACCUCUAAAAUCAGAACUCUGGAGAAAGGUUUGGUGGAAAUCACUACUGAAGCCAUUUGGACUGAAGUUUUCUUUGUUGGAAGAUUCCCACAUGAAGACAUUUGCUAAUUCCUUCAUUUAUACGUAAGGGGGAUUAGCAGUAAUCUUAAAAAUCUCAUGGCCAAGUACUGGUGAGACUAAAAUCUGGCAUUCUUGGCCCUUAUCCAGUGG